rnacentral:rRNA from 1 species
UACGGAGGGAGCUAGCGUUAUUCGGAAUUACUGGGCGUAAAGCGCACGUAGGCGGCUUUGUAAGUUAGAGGUGAAAGCCUGGAGCUCAACUCCAGAAUUGCCUUUAAGACUGCAUCGCUUGAAUCCAGGAGAGGUGAGUGGAAUUCCGAGUGUAGAGGUGAAAUUCGUAGAUAUUCGGAAGAACACCAGUGGCGAAGGCGGCUCACGUGGACUGGUAUUGACGCUGAGGUGCGAAAGCGUGGGGAGCAAACAGG